rnacentral:rRNA from 1 species
UACGUAGGGUCGAGCGUUGUCCGGAGUUACUGGGCGUAAAGCGCGCGCAGGCGGCGCGAUAAGACCGGCGUGAAGCCCCGCUCAACGGGAGGUCGUUGUGACUGUCGCGCUUGAAGCAGCAGGGUGAGUGGAAUUCCGUGUAGUGUGAAUGCGUAGAGAUCGGAGACACCGUGCGAGCGCUCACUGCUGACCUGACGCUGAGCGCGAAGCGUGGGAGCAACAGGAUAGAUAC